rnacentral:rRNA from 1 species
GACGAACGCUGGCGGCAGGCCUAACACAUGCAAGUCGAGCGAGACCUUCGGGUCUAGCGGCGGACGGGUUAGUAACGCGUGGGAACGUGCCCUUCUCUGCGGAAUAGCCACUGGAAACGGUGAGUAAUACCGCAUACGCCCUUCGGGGGAAAGAUUUAUCGGAGAAGGAUCGGCCCGCGUUAGGUUAGAUAGUUGGUGGGUAACGGCCUACCAAGUCUACGAUCUAUAGCUGGUUUUAGAGGAUGAUCAGCAACACUGGGACUGAGACACGGCCCAGACUCCUACGGGAGGCAGCAGUGGGGAAUCUUAGACAAUGGGCGCAAGCCUGAUCUAGCCAUGCCGCGUGUGUGAUGAAGGUCUUAGGAUCGUAAAGCACUUUCGCCAGGGAUGAUAAUGACAGUACCUGGUAAAGAAACCCCGGCUAACUCCGUG